GACGAACGCUGGCGGCGUGCUUAACACAUGCAAGUCGAACGGAAAGGCCCUGCUCUUGUGGGGUGCUCGAGUGGCGAACGGGUGAGUAACACGUGAGUAACCUGCCCUUGACUUUGGGAUAACUUCAGGAAACUGGGGCUAAUACCGGAUAGGAGCUCCUGCUGCAUGGUGGGGGUUGGAAAGAUUCGGCGGUUGGGGAUGGACUCGCGGCUUAUCAGCUUGUUGGUGGGGUAGUGGCUUACCAAGGGUUUGACGGGUAGCCGGCCUGAGAGGGUGACCGGCCACAUUGGGACUGCGAUACGGACCAGACGCCUACGGGAGGCAGCAGUGGAGAACAUUGCGCAAUGGGCGGAAGCCUGAUGCAGCAACGCCGCGUGCGGGAUGACGGCCUUCGGGUUGUAAACCGCUUUCGCCGGUGACGAAGCGUGAGUAACGGUAAUGGGUAAAGAAGCACCGGCUAACUACGUG
rnacentral:rRNA from 1 species